GAUGAACGCUGGCGGCGUGCCUAACACAUGCAAGUCGAACGGAGUCCAGCCUUUAAUGCCUUCGGGUCAAGGGGGGGACGACUGAGUGGCGGACGGGUGAGUAACCCGUGGGCAACCUGGCUCAUCGAGGGGGUUAACAGAGAGAAAUUUCUGCUAAUACCCCAUAAGCACACACUGCCGCAUGGCCGAGGGUGAAAAGAGAAUCGCUAUGAGAUGGACCCGCGUCUGAUUAGCCAGGUGGCAGGGUAAUAGCCUACCAAAGCGACGAUCAGUAGCCGAGCUGAGAGGAUGAACGGCCACAGUGGGACUGAGACACGGCCCAAACUCCGACGGGAGGCAGCAGUGGGGGAUAUUGCACAAUGGGGGGAACCCUGAUGAAGCGACGCCGCGUGAGUGAAGAAGUAUUUCGGUAUGUAAAGCUCUAUCAGCAGAGAAGAUAAUGACGGUACCUGAAAAAGAAGCCCCGGCUAACUACGUG
rnacentral:rRNA from 1 species